GACGAACGCUGGCGGCGCGCUUAACACAUGCAAGUCGAACGGUGAAGCGCCUUCCUUUUUGGUGGGUGUGGAUGAGUGGCGAACGGGUGAGUAACACGUGAGUAACCUGCCCCCUUCUUCUGGAUAACCGCAUGAAAGUGUGGCUAAUACGGGAUAUUCUGGGUCUGUCGCAUGAUGGGUCUGGGAAAGAUAUUGUUUCGGUGGGGGAUGGGCUCGCGGCCUAUCAGCUUGUUGGUGGGGUGAUGGCCUACCAAGACGGUGACGGGUAGCCGGCCUGAGAGGGUGGACAGUCACACUGGGACUGAGACACGGCCCAGACUCCUACGGGAGGCAGCAGUGGGGAAUAUUGCACAAUGGGCGCAAGCCUGAUGCAGCGCCGCCGCGUGAGGGAUGGAGGCCUUCGGGUUGUGAACCUCUUUCGCCAGUGAAGCAGGCCUGCCUCGUUUGUGGGUGGGUUGACGGUAGCUGGAUAAGAAGCGCCGGCUAACUACGUG
rnacentral:rRNA from 1 species